ACGUGCUCAAGCCUGUGGCUUGGAAUUGGACGCCUUGUCGCGUUAAGGCCCUUUGGGGCCGUCGGCGACUCGUCUUGAAACGCAUAUAGUCGGCCUCGGUCGAAGUCGAAAUGCGGUGUGAUAAUUAAAUCGACGUCGCGGACGCUGCGAACUCGAGGGCGACUUCAAACGGUCCGACUUAGUGCGGACUGCCCUCUGGGGUAAACCGUGUAAGC
rnacentral:misc_RNA from 1 species